rnacentral:rRNA from 1 species
UACCAAGGCGACGACGGGUAGCCGGCCUGAGAGGGCGACCGGCCACACUGGGACUGAGACACGGCCCAGACUCCUACGGGAGGCAGCAGUGGGGAAUAUUGCACAAUGGGCGGAAGCCUGAUGCAGCGACGCCGCGUGAGGGAUGACGGCCUUCGGGUUGUAAACCUCUUUCAGCAGGGACGAAGCGAGAGUGACGGUACCUGCAGAAGAAGCACCGGCCAACUACGUGCCAGCAGCCGCGGUAAGACGUAGGGUGCGAGCGUUGUCCGGAUUUAUUGGGCGUAAAGAGCUCGUAGGCGGCUUGUCGCGUCGACCGUGAAAACUUGGGGCUCAACCCCAAGCCUGCGGUCGAUACGGGCAGGCUAGAGUUCGGUAGGGGAGACUGGAAUUCCUGGUGUAGCGGUGAAAUGCGCAGAUAUCAGGAGGAACACCGGUGGCGAAGGCGGGUCUCUGGGCCGAUACUGACGCUGAGGAGCGAAAGCGUGGGGAGCGAACAGGAUUAGAUACCCUGGUAGUCCACGCUGUAAACGUUGGGCGCUAGGUGUGGGGGACCU